UACCAGCACCCCGAGUGGUCGGGACGAUUAUUGGGCCUAAAGCAUCCGUAGCCGGUUCUACAAGUCUUCCGUUAAAUCCACCUGCUUAACAGAUGGGCUGCGGAGGAUACUAUAGAGCUAGGAGGCGGGAGAGGCAAGCGGUACUUAGUGGGUAGGGGUAAAAUCCACUGAUCCAUUGAAGACCACCAGUGGCGAAGGCGGCUUGCCAGAACGCGCUCGACGGUGAGGGAUGAAAGCUGGGGGAGCAAACCGG
rnacentral:rRNA from 1 species